rnacentral:rRNA from 1 species
AGAAUCUAUACGGAUAACUUUCGUAACCGACAGCUAAUACGACUGAAACUGGGCAUCGCAAGGUGCCCUGGUCUUGUUGGCGCUAAAAUCAAUCCUCGCAAGAGGUCCUGAUGAAUCACAACAAUUCGCGUGGUGUCCUCGCGACACCGACUCGCUCGUGUUCACGUCCGAUUAGGCUUCGUUUCGUUGGUAGUGUAUUGGACUACCAAACCCGCAAUCGGUAACGGGGGUUUAGGGACCGACUCCGGCGAGAAAGCCUGAGAAACGGCUUUCAGUUCUAUGGAAUGCAGCAGUUGCGAAACGUGCCCAAUGAACCCAGUGUUCGAGGCCGAGACGACCAAUAUCAAAGCGAGGCUCUCAGAGUUUUGCUAUUGAAAUGGAUUAGGUUUAAACCACCUGGUGAGGAUCAAGCAGAGGGAGAGUCUGGUGCCAGCAGCCGCGGUAAUUCCAGCUCUGCGAAGGAACGUAUAAAUUGUUGCAGUUAAAAAACGCGUAGCAGUGUGUCGCUCUAUUUUGUGGUUAUUUUGUUUCCCGAAAGGGGAAUGAAGUAGCCACGUAGAGUUUCGAUCACAUCGCUAUGAUUCGAAAGAGUCGUAGUGGAUUGAUCACUAUUACUGUGAGUAAAUCGGAACGCUCAAGGUGGGUAAUUGCUUGAACGUUUCUCAUGGAAUAAUCCCUUUAAGAUAUUAAAGGUUGAUUGGUUUCCUUUAACGUCUUUUCAAACAGGAACAGGUGGGGGAGAUCGUACCUUGCAGCUAGAGGUGAAAUUCUUUGAUUUGCAAGAGACGAACAACAGCGAAGGCAUUCUCCAAAAAUGUUUUCAUUUGUCAAGCGUGAAAGCCGGAGGAUCGAAGAAGAUUAGAUACCUUUGUAGUUCCGGCCCUAAACGAUGCCGACUCGGGAUUAGAGGUCGUUAUUUUGACUCCUCUAGUACCGUAUGAGAAAUCAAAGUCUUUGGGUUCCGGGGGGAGUAUGAUCGCAAGGUUGAAACUUAAAGAAAUUGACGGAAGGGCACACCAGUAGUGGAGCCUGCG